GUCGAGCGGUAGCACAGAGAGCUUGCUCUCGGGUGACGAGCGGCGGACGGGUGAGUAAUGUCUGGGAAACUGCCUGAUGGAGGGGGAUAACUACUGGAAACGGUAGCUAAUACCGCAUAACGUCGCAAGACCAAAGUGGGGGACCUUCGGGCCUCAUGCCAUCAGAUGUGCCCAGAUGGGAUUAGCUGGUAGGUGGGGUAACGGCUCACCUAGGCGACGAUCCCUAGCUGGUCUGAGAGGAUGACCAGCCACACUGGAACUGAGACACGGUCCAGACUCCUACGGGAGGCAGCAGUGGGGAAUAUUGCACAAUGGGCGCAAGCCUGAUGCAGCCAUGCCGCGUGUGUGAAGAAGGCCUUCGGGUUGUAAAGCACUUUCAGCGGGGAGGAAGGCGGUGAGGUUAAUAACCUCACCGAUUGACGUUACCCGCAGAAGAAGCACCGGCUAACUCCGUGCCAGCAGCCGCGGUAAUACGGAGGGUGCAAGCGUUAAUCGGAAUUACUGGGCGUAAAGCGCACGCAGGCGGUCUGUCAAGUCGGAUGUGAAAUCCCCGGGCUCAACCUGGGAACUGCAUUCGAAACUGGCAGGCUAGAGUCUUGUAGAGGGGGGUAGAAUUCCAGGUGUAGCGGUGAAAUGCGUAGAGAUCUGGAGGAAUACCGGUGGCGAAGGCGGCCCCCUGGACAAAGACUGACGCUCAGGUGCGAAAGCGUGGGGAGCAAACAGGAUUAGAUACCCUGGUAGUCCACGCUGUAAACGAUGUCGAUUUGGAGGUUGUGCCCUUGAGGCGUGGCUUCCGGAGCUAACGCGUUAAAUCGACCGCCUGGGGAGUACGGCCGCAAGGUUAAAACUCAAAUGAAUUGACGGGGGCCCGCACAAGCGGUGGAGCAUGUGGUUUAAUUCGAUGCAACGCGAAGAACCUUACCUGGUCUUGACAUCCACAGAACUUUCCAGAGAUGGAUUGGUGCCUUCGGGAACUGUGAGACAGGUGCUGCAUGGCUGUCGUCAGCUCGUGUUGUGAAAUGUUGGGUUAAGUCCCGCAACGAGCGCAACCCUUAUCCUUUGUUGCCAGCGGUUCGGCCGGGAACUCAAAGGAGACUGCCAGUGAUAAACUGGAGGAAGGUGGGGAUGACGUCAAGUCAUCAUGGCCCUUACGACCAGGGCUACACACGUGCUACAAUGGCAUAUACAAAGAGAAGCGACCUCGCGAGAGCAAGCGGACCUCAUAAAGUAUGUCGUAGUCCGGAUUGGAGUCUGCAACUCGACUCCAUGAAGUCGGAAUCGCUAGUAAUCGUAGAUCAGAAUGCUACGGUGAAUACGUUCCCGGGCCUUGUACACACCGCCCGUCACACCAUGGGAGUGGGUUGCAAAAGAAGUAGGUAGCUUAACCUUCGGGAGGGC
rnacentral:rRNA from 1 species